GGGUCAAUGAUGAAAAUCUUUGUCUUGACUCAAGUGAGGUGUUGUCUUAAAAGUCUUGUGCAAUAGAGUUAUGGUGAGGACC
rnacentral:snoRNA from 1 species